GCAACAGAAGUAGCUUCUCUAUUGGAGUUCUUGACUGUACUUUUGUUCUUUCUGUGGUCAAAGUUCCCAAACAAGUCUGUGUUCUAAUCUCAAGAAUUUGUGAAUGUUGGGUGAUAAGCAAUUAUGUACUUUUACAGUUCCUAGCUGGAGGUACUAUUUGUGAGUUGGUGAAAGCUUUGCGUAGGCCGCUGAGGCCAGGUUCUCAGGAAAUAUUUAUUGCCUUGCGUUUUUCUGCUUCCUGGAUGCUAUGAGCAAUAAAGACAAACACAUGUGGCACAGAUGAAUUAAGGUUGUGUAUCAGCUGGUCUUAAAGAGAUCAUCCUGUUUUAUCUGACCAGGUAGUGAAUGAGGCACUCAGAAAUAUUGGUAUGAAACAACAUGAAUAAGACUUGCAGCAAUCUCUGGCUUUGAAGAUGGCAGGAGGUCAUGAGCUGAAAAUAGAAUGUGAUCUAUGACAUGCUUCUACAAAAAACGAAGAGUGAGUGAUCAUACAUACCCCCCUUUACUCUACCUGAACCUAAGAGCCCAAUGGGAUGGAUUCCACAAUUUUCUUUUUUUGAUCCACAGAUUUGGUCUGUGUGUGGCCAGAAGGACAAAUCUGGAUUACUUAAUAAUCCAGUUCUCUCUGAAGAAUGUAGUCCUUUGUCUAUUCUGUGACUGGUGGCUUUCCAAAAAUAAAUUGUAUGUAUAAAUAUCUCCAUCAUCAGCUUCGGACCAGAGAGAACUUGUCUUAGAAAAGUCAAUGCUACAAAUUCAGAGAAGACCCCCCAUCUUUCUGAGUCUGUCGGUAUGUGUGAUAUGUGUAUAUGACUGUACCUGUCAUGAUGAGCAUAACUUUGUACAUGUCAAAAGCAUCACUUUGAGGAACUGAUUCUCUCCUUCUACCUCUACAUAAAUUCUAGAGACACAACUCAGAUUGUAGCAAGUGUUCUUACUCUCUGAGCUCUCUUGCGUGCCUAAAAUGUAUUUUCUUUAUAUCCCUAGUACCUGAGUCAUGCUCAGUAAGUGUGUAAU